UACAGAGGUCUCAAGCGUUGUUCGGAUUCAUUGGGCGUAAAGGGUGUGUAGGUGGCGCCGUAAGUCGGGUGUGAAAUUUCGGAGCUUAACUCCGAAACUGCAUUCGAUACUGCGGUGCUUGAGGACUGGAGAGGAGACUGGAAUUCCUGGUGUAGCAGUGAAAUGCGUAGAUAUCAGGAGGAACACCGAUGGCGAAGGCAGGUCUCUGGGCUGACACUGACGCUCAUGCACGAAAGCGUGGGGAGCAAACAGG
rnacentral:rRNA from 1 species